rnacentral:lncRNA from 1 species
AAUUGGACUUUAUUCCUUGGGUCGUUCGAUUUGGGCUAAAUUUUUAUGUGUCAACAGAAAGCAUAUGUACGCUACUUCGCUUGCUACACCAGAAGGACCCGACCUCAUCUUCCUCCGUCGAGUUUAUCCAGCUACACCGGAGAAAUUGUUGAAGGCGUUUGUGAGCCAUUCGACGACGGGUCCCGUCUUCUCCGACAGAAUUUAUAGCAACUGAAAGUAGGUUUGUUGUUAAGUUUACAUGGGUGUUGAUUUGGUUUAUAGCAAGCGGAAGUAAGUUCGAAUCUAUUGGGAUUUUAACCAUUGAAGAUGCUAUUCGUGUGAAACUCACAAGCGUAUGAGAUCGUUGACAAGUAAUAGAUUUGAUGAGUUGAGAGUAUUGUCUAACGAGUAAUAAAAUUUAAUAGAGUAUACUAAUACUUUAUUAGAUUCAAAGCAAACAAAUAAAAGUUAUUUGUGAUUUUUAUUUAAUUUAACAUAAUCUACGAAAAUUUGUAAAAUGUGAAUUUAAUAGGUAUGGAAGGAUUGUAUUAGAUUACGAAUCCACUUAUUAGUAUCUAUUUCAAUUCUUGACUAUAUAGCUAGUUUUGUUCAUACAUUCUUGAUAAUCGAUAAUUCUAAUGUAAUUAAUUUUCUUUUUCAAGAUAAAUUAAAUAUAUCCUAAUCACUACCGAAUCUAUUCCUAGUUUGAAUUUGAAUGAAUAAAACGCAUUCAAUUUCACAAUUAUCUCAAAAAUUGCACACGUGAUAAAUCUUAUUCCUAAAAUUUAUUGCACGCAUAUUAAUCAAACAGUGUUCUAAAUCUAUUAUGAGCUUCCCAACACUACAAGUAGCAACUAUAUAUUUAAUUGGUGAUUAAACAAUCAAAUAAUAAAUUAAGCAUGCAAGAUUAAUCAAUAAUUAUAAGAAUUUAACUAAACUACGUGUCUCGAAUUAAAAAUAAACAAUAAAGGGUUUCUUCGUCAUCUAAUACAUGAGAGCAAUUAGCCUAGUAUAUUAUUGAAUUUAAACACAUAAAAUGGAAGGACAUCACAAAAAUUUGACGGAAGGUGAUUAAAUCCUCAAUUUCGUACUUUUACUGGCUUUACGUGUUUUUCUCCAGCACCAACCCACUAUUUUAUAUAUGUCUGCGUGUAUUUUUUCUUCCAAGUUCCAACCGUCGUUGUUUUCUAUAUCUUCUCUUCAAUUGUUUUUCUAUAAUUGAAAUCAAGCCCAGCCGCAAUGUUUGAUCCCAAUUUUUCCUUUCUUGCCGUCUGUACGUGAUGUGUAUAUAAAAUCAGCAGCCAGCCCUUGUAUUUUCUCCAACAACAGGUCAACCUUUUUUCUCUCUCCCCUCUGUAUAUUGUCACCAAUUGUUUUCAGGUUCUGCCCCUUUUUCUUUCUCCUAGUUGGCGUGUAAAUCAAUCUCAACUUCAGCGGCCCGAA